GCUGUUGCCAUGCCUAGAACACAUUUUCAAUGGAAUCAACCCAAUAGUGAAGCAACCAUGGCUUUCAGUGCAACAAAUGGGAAUAUGUUCAUGGCUUCUCCUUACGGAAUUAACUCAUAUGGGCUUAAAAUGCAAGCUCACAAUCUGCAUAGAGGUGCUGUUCAUGAAUCUUUUAUCGCACCUCAAAGUAUAGCUUUUCCGAUGCAAUCUGCACAGCACUACUCUUAUGGAUGAGAGUGCUAUGGCUUUGAUUUCUCCAAUGCCACCUCUUCUUGUAGUUUCAUUGGUAUAGCUGUGUCUGUGCUCUCCUUUUUCAUUUUAACCCUUUUUUCCUUUUUCUUUUUCGGGGAUCUUUUUGUAUAUGUCAUCAAG
rnacentral:misc_RNA from 1 species